UACGGAGGGUGCGAGCGUUGUCCGGAAUUAUUGGGCGUAAAGAGCUCGUAGGCGGUUUGUCGCGUCUGCUGUGAAAACCUAAGGCUCAACCUUGGGCUUGCAGUGGAUACGGGCAGACUAGAGUGCGGUAGGGGUGACUGGAAUUCCUGGUGUAGCGGUGGAAUGCGCAGAUAUCAGGAGGAACACCGGUGGCUAAGGCGGGUCUCUGGGCAGUGGCUGACACUGAGGCGCGACAGCGUGGGGAGCAAACAGG
rnacentral:rRNA from 1 species